UGAUAGUGACUUUUUCCUGUUGACUUCUGUGUGGCCGAGUCAAACCAAAAUAUACAGGACUUCACUUUUUCACAGAAGUGUGAAUCUGUUUGCAUCAGCAGAAGUGUUCCUGGUUUACAAGAGGAAAAGUGAGAAUCUGGCAGGAGAAUCAACCAGAAAAGAUGUCUAGAAGUACAACAAACAUCUGACAUAUUGAAGGGAAAGAGAAGAGAAUGCAAAGAAAUCCAUGAAUAUGUCUCUGAGUGAAUAAUCAGACUAUGAGUUUCUUUGAGGAAACUGAAAAUGAGGAAAUGUCAUCACAGUUUACUUCUUGGGCCAGGAACCCUACAGAUCUCCUCUACUGGAAAACAUGAACUCUUUGGUGAUAGAUGGACCCCUGAAGCCCUGGCAAUGCCAGGCAGCUGUGCCAAAUCAAUGAUCAAACUUGAGCAGGGGCAGGAGCAAUGCAACUGCACAGGGCACCCAUUUGACAGAGCAGUUGCAAGAGCAGAAGAAAGUCAAAUCUAGCAGAGAUUUCAAAGAGGAUGAAGAAUUGAUUCUGUCCACUGUGGAUGCAAACCUA
ensembl:lncRNA